AUACGUAGGGGGCAAGCGUUAUCCGGAUUCAUUGGGCGUAAAGAGCGCGUAGGCGGCUUGUUAAGCGAGAUGUGAAAACAGGGGGCUCAACCCGCUGCUUGCAUCUCGAACUGGCAGGCUUGAGUUUGGUAGAGGAGUGUGGAAUUCCCAGUGUAGCGGUGGAAUGCGCAGAUAUUGGGAGGAACACCAGUGGCGAAGGCGGCACUCUGGGCCAUAACUGACGCUGAGGCGCGAAAGCGUGGGUAGCAAACAGGAUUAGAUACCCUGGUAGUCCACGCCGUAAACGAUGGGCACUAGGUGUGGGGAGAUCUCUCUCUCCGUGCCGCAGCUAACGCAUUAAGUGCCCCGCCUGGGGAGUACGGCCGCAAGGCUAAA
rnacentral:rRNA from 1 species